AAUCCUUGUUCUAGGCACUUUCGCAAAAGAUCCAUGAAACGCUCCCAUGUCUCAAACAAUAACUCAAGAUCCAUCUGCACAAACAACGAUAUCUCAUUGCGAAGUUU